rnacentral:tRNA from 1 species
GCGGGUGUCGUAUAGUGGCUCAUUAUGUCAGCCUUCCAAGCUGAAGAGGAGGGUUCGAUUCCCUUCACCCGCUCCA